AGAGAGAGAGAGAGAGAGAGAGAGAGAGGCCAUGGAAAACCUCUCAAGCCUAGUUCACGAGCUUCGCGAACGCAUAGCAGCUUCAUCAUCAACACCUCCCAACAUCGGAGACGAUGACGCUCUCAAGAUCAGAUUUCGCGAUGUUCUUCCCAAUCUCCUUCACACCUAUGUCGUCCCCUCUUCUUCAGCCAAUGAGAGAGAGGUCAUCGCGGUAUUGAAGCAAUUGACUCACACAGCAAAGAAUUUCCCCGGAGUUUUCUUCCAUGGCAGGGCUGCUGCAGUCCUACCUCUUAUUGGUCGCAUACUGCCAUUCUUCGCGGAGCCCACAUUUCGCUCUCGGCAUGGAGUGAUUUUUGAAACAGUUGGAUCCCUUUUAUCCUUGCUCCGUACAGGAGAUCGAGAUGCAUACCGUCAGUUUUUUAUAGACACCAUGUUGAUGGUUGAAGGUUCAUCUACCUAGAAGAUGUGCUACGCUUCAUGUUAGAAGAUGAGGCUUUGAAGACCAUGAGUCCUUUGGGAGGCUCACCUGAAAGUGAAAAAAUAAGCCAGUCUUCUCUGAAGAACUGGGCGGUUAAUGCUUUUAGAGAACGAAGAGCGCUUGCCUUGACACUCGAUGAUACAAAAACCGCUGUCAACAAACUUCGUCAUAUGGCGAAUGUACUAGUUGUCAUCGUUAUAGCGGUUGUUUCUCUCAUCAUACUAGGAAUUGCAACCAGCAGAUUUCUAUUCCUUAUAAGCUCUUAGAUCGUCGUUGUGGCAUUCAUAUUUGGAAACUCU